AACAUCCCACUUGAGCUACUCCCAGAGCCAGACAGCCUCUGCCACUUCGCCUGCUGCUCCUGCCAGAAGAAACCUCGCAUUCACAGAGCUCCAUAGAAAUGGCUCCAAUGUCCAUUAUAACACAUGGGGCUUCGUUAAUAAACCUCCCCAAAUUGACACCUAACUCCUUCCAUCGACGGCCAUUCAAGUACACAUGCUUUCUCAAUGUUCCUCGCAGGCUCUCAUCACCGCACACCGCAAGCAUUUUGGGUUCUCAGUUUUUUAGACCGUCACUUCUCAGGAUCAGAUGCUUUCAGGGAGAAGAUGCUGAAAAUUUUGAAGUUAGUGAAGAAAGUUUGGAUGGACAAAAU
rnacentral:misc_RNA from 1 species